AUACGUAGGUGGCAAGCGUUGUCCGGAUUUACUGGGUGUAAAGGGCGCGUAGGCGGGCAGGCAAGUCAGAUGUGAAAUCUCCGGGCUCAACCCGGAAAUUGCAUUUGAAACUGCAGGUCUUGAGUAUCGGAGAGGCAAGCGGAAUUCCUAGUGUAGCGGUGAAAUGCGUAGAUAUUAGGAGGAACACCGGUGGCGAAGGCGGCUUACUGGACUGUAACUGACGCUGAGGCUCGAAAGCGUGGGGAGCAAACAAGAUUAGAUACCCUGGUAGUCCUCGCUGUAAACGAUGAUUACUAGGUGUGGGGGGCCUGACCCCUUCCGUGCCGCAGUUAACACAAUAAGUAAUCCACCUGGGGAGUACGGCCGCAAGGUGGAAACUCAAAUGAAUUGACGGGG
rnacentral:rRNA from 1 species